UACGGAAGGCAGCAGUGGGGAAUAUUGCACAAUGGGCGAAAGCCUGAUGCAGCUAUGCCGCGUGUAUGAAGAAGGCCUUAGGGUUGUAAAGUACUUUCAUCGGGGAGGAAAAACAAAACUAAUAAUUUUAUUUCUUGACGUUACCCGAAAAAGAAGCACCGGCUAACUCCGUGCCAGCAGCCGCGGUAAUACGGAGGGUGCUAGCGUUAAUCAGAAUUACUGGGCGUAAAGAGCACGUAGGUGGUUUUUUUAAGUCAGAUGUGAAAUCCCUGGGCUUAACCUGGAACUGCAUUUUGAAACUGAAAUACUAGAGUAUCGUAGAGGGAGGUAGAAUUCUAGGUGUAGCGGUGAAAUGCGUAGAUAUCUGGAGGAAUACCUGUGGCGAAAGCGGCCUCCUAAACGAAUACUGACACUGAGGUGCGAAAGCGUGGGGAGCAAAACAGGGAUUAGAUACC
rnacentral:rRNA from 1 species